CAUGUACUCCCUCCGUCCGAAAAAGCUUGUCUCUAAAAUGGAUGUAUCUAGCACCAAGUUAGUGCUAGAUACAUCCAUUUGAGGAACAAGCUUGGGACAAGCUUUUUCGGACAGAGGGAGUAUGUA
rfam:Triticum aestivum genome assembly, contig: Triticum_aestivum_CS42_TGACv1_scaffold_544471_6DS